rnacentral:rRNA from 1 species
ACUUAAUCCAUUUGAUCACUUUCUUGCUGACUUGCCACUCCUGGCCAAAAUCAGGCUCCUUGUAGUGGUCCAGGCCUUCAGACCAGGUGAUCCUCUCCAACACCUCCAGCUCACCUCCCGCCAGCCAGUUCCCGCUAGCCAUGACCUGCUUGAUGUAGGGGUGGUUGGGGUUGUUGGUGCCAAACUGCCUGGCACACAUCUCUUCCUUAUGAUGUUCAUAAAACUCCACAUUCCUGAGCACAGCCUUGGCCACCCCUCUGUACCUGAGUAC